GUCGAGCUUUGAUUGACAAGCAAAGCUCAUCACCCAACUGAAGUGAUGAGGUUUGCUACAAAGCCGACCCUGUUCAAGACACACACCGCACUCUUUGCUGAGCUGGCUUUUUAUUAUUUUUAAUUUUUUGGUUCUAACUUGAGUGCGCGUUUCUCCUUCUCUCAAAACAGUCUCAAUGGGUUGUGGAACCCACAACAACCGCCCAUUAGAGCUACUUCCAUUUUUUUGAAGUUUUCUUUUGACGUGGAAUCGGAUCGACGCCUGACUACAGUUCAUACCCGUCAGUUUGCAUAUCAAAAUGGGAGGGCUAGAUAAGAUUGGUAGAUCUGUCAAUAUAUUUUGCCAUUCUGUGAAAAUAGCAGUAAGAUUACAAUAAUUUGAACCUUCAUUCGAAAAGAAAGAGGGAAAACAAUAUUAGAAUCAAAGUUUUGGAGUCAAACCUGGAAAUUCAGGUGACGAUGUUGUUGAGGCUAUAAUCGCUGGUAGCCGGGAUUUUCUGUCGUAUUAUAAAGGGGUUGAUCCGCAUGGCCAACAAUCAAGGAGAAAGCAAAGAUGACGAUAGUGUUCAGACUACAGGAGAAGAUGCGGGAUGCCAUAAGGGGGUUUCUGGAAAGACAGAUUUCAAAUGAAAGAAAAGGAAGUUUAAAAUUUAAAAAAAAAAAAAAAGCGCGCCACGUGGGCUAGAGUGCGGAGGUUGUGGAAUUGUGGGCGGUUGAGCAGCUUUUUUUUCUUUGAGCUUUAGCCAAAAACUCUAAUUUUAGUCCAAUUUUAAACUGCAUUGCCAAUGCUGUUAGGUAGCGCCACCAGCAGUACUAUAGUUCUUGUCACGGUUUUUGUCACUGUUAUGGAUUGGAAUUGUGACGAGAGGGGAACUGGACAUGAUGAUCUGUGUCAUUUGGCCAAUAUCCAAGCAGCUACGAUGUUAUUAUCUGGUACAAGAAUGUCGGGCUACAUACAGACCUAACAGCAAUGCAGAUUAGUGUAAGCAUUAAAGAGAGUUCAAGAGAAAGAUAGACAAGGGAGGGCAGCCAACACCAUCGCCGGCAGUCGCUCGUCCUGGCCGUUGACAGGCGGCAAUCACUCGGCCAAAAAUACCCUUUUCCAAUCGGGAUUGGACCUAGUUUUAAGCUCCAAAGCCAACUUCUGGCCUUGAAACUGCAUCCGAGUCCAAGCUAGGCCGAAAGUUUGUGCCUUUUUUCAAUCGAUCACAUGGGUGUGGAACGUAGGAUGCGGAAUCGAUGGACCUCAAAGAAAUUUCCAGAUUUUGGUCUAUGAGUACUUUAUAUUAAUCUACAAAGCUUGAGACAAGAAGUUUGAAACAUGAGAAUACAACUUGGAACUUUUUGCAUUUUGCAGAUACAGAAAAUGGGUCCAUUAAUACAGGCAUAAAGCCUCAAUGUAAUGCGCGUCCCAAAAGUCUACAAGAAAGAGAGAAAGUCCGCAUCGCGACAUAAUCGAGAAAUGAUCAAGGGCGCCACCUUCUAGAGGCGUAGUAUUUUCCUGUCCAGAGUUUUUCCAAGCAAUCUGAAAGGUACAUAUCUAGAGACAUGGACUUUAUUCCAUUUAAUUUUUAAAAGGGACACCACCUGAAUGGAAACAUUCAACGGAGAGUUAAGGUUUGUUACAGAAGCAUUCAAAUUGUUGCAGCUACAUUAAUAUGCGUUAAUGCAAUGCGUCAGCAUACGUAAUGCUCAAGACUAAUCAAAUUGCUGAGAAAAGUCAGCAUUAAUCCAUUUACCUGUUCAUUUCAUAAGGAUUGGAUAACCUUUUGUAAGUAAAAAUUCACAAUAAUAAAAUAAAAUUACAAUAAAAUUAAAAUUAAAAUGAAAUUAAUUUAGACUCACGUAUGAAAAUCUCGUUUUCUUUAAAAAAAUUCAAGUUCUCUUAAGUAUAAAAAACUUUUUCAGUUUAACCGGUACAGUAGAAUUCAUUUUGACUUAUCUUCUUUAGGACAGCCAAAAUGAUCGUUGUAUAACCCAAAUCAACUCUACAUAAUUAAUUGAGCUCAAAACUUCCCUCAAAGAAUACCUCUCUUUUAUCUUAAAAUACUCUAAAAAAAAACAUGCCUACGUACUUCCCAACAUGAAACAGCACAACACUAAACUUACAACGAAAAAUUAUGUAUAUCAUAUGGACGCCAACCUCCAUCCAAUUUAAAAAGGGAGGUAGACCUUCAUACCAAGAAACAGCAAAAACAUUUAUUACCAACUUUAUUAGAGCUAUUUGCACAACACGACAUCACUACUUUCAAAUCAGAUGAUAAUCAAGAUUUAGAAACUACUCAUGAUAACAUCACAAAACCUGAUCUGCAGGCACUGGCAUUACCAAGUGCACCAUCUGUUUGUAAUAAUGUUACUGUUAAUUUACUAGAAAGUCCCUCUUAUAGUUGAGUUGUAAUGUACUAUUUUUGUAUUUUUACAGUUAGUUAUGUAGCUAUAUAGACCUACUACAUUUUCAAUUAUUCCCUAGUUACUUAGAAUCUUUUCUUUCCUUUUUUGUGUAUAUAAGCAAUUGCACAAUGUAAUUUGAUUAUAUAUGAUUGAAUGGAAUGAAGUAGCCUCUU